UUGCCAGCCGCCGCGGUAAUACGGAGGGUGCGAGCGUUAAUCGGAAUUACUGGGCGUAAAGGGCGCGUAGGCGGUCGCGCAAGUCGGGUGUGAAAGCCCCGGGCUCAACCUGGGAAUUGCAUUCGAUACUGCGUAACUAGAGUCUGGUAGAGGGAAGCGGAAUUCCGCAUGUAGCGGUGAAAUGCGUAGAUAUGCGGAGGAACACCAGUGGCGAAGGCGGCUUCCUGGACCAAGACUGACGCUGAGGCGCGAAAGCGUGGGGAGCAAACAGGAUUAGAUACCCUGGUAGUCCACGCCCUAAACGAUGAGGACUAGACGUUGGGGGGAUAAAACCCUUUAGUGUCGCAGCUAACGCGUGAAGUCCUCCGCCUGGGGGAGUACGGCCGCAAGGUUGAAACUUAAAUGAAUUGACGG
rnacentral:rRNA from 1 species